rnacentral:rRNA from 1 species
GGAGGGAGCUAGCGUUAUUCGGAAUUACUGGGCGUAAAGCGCACGUAGGCGGCUUUGUAAGCUAGAGGUGAAAGCCUGGAGCUCAACUCCAGAAUUGCCUUUAAGACUGCAUCGCUUGAAUCCAGGAGAGGUGAGUGGAAUUCCGAGUGUAGAGGUGAAAUUCGUAGAUAUUCGGAAGAACACCAGUGGCGAAGGCGGCUCACUGGACUGGUAUUGACGCUGAGGUGCGAAAGCGUGGGGGGAGCAAACAGGAUUAGAUACCCUGGUAGUCCACGCCCGUAAACGAUGAUAACUAGCUGUCGGGGGCUCUUAGAGCUUCGGUGGCGCAGCUAACGCAUUAAGUUAUCCGCCUGGGGAGUACGGCCGCAAGGUUA